rnacentral:rRNA from 1 species
CACGUAGGGUGCGAGCGUUGUCCGGAAUUAUUGGGCGUAAAGCGCUCGUAGGCGGUUCGGUAAGUCGGGUGUGAAAACUCUGGGCUCAACCCAGAGAGGCCACCCGAUACUGCUGUGACUAGAGUGCGGUAGGGGAGCGGGGAAUUCCUGGUGUAGCGGUGAAAUGCGCAGAUAUCAGGAGGAACACCAGCGGCGAAGGCGCCGCUCUGGGCCGUAACUGACGCUGAGGAGCGAAAGCAUGGGUAGCAAACAGG